UUUUUACUUCCUCCGUUCUGAAUUACUUGUCGUAGGUAUGGAUGUAUCUAGAUGUAUUUUAGUUCUAGAUACACCCAUUUCUGCGACAAGUAAUUUGGAACGGAGGGAGUACAUC
rnacentral:pre_miRNA from 1 species